UGGGGAAUCUUGCGCAAUGGACGAAAGUCUGACGCAGCGACGCCGCGUGCGGGGAGGCAGCCUUCGGGUUGUAAAGCACUUUUGUUGGGGAAGAAAAGCUUCGGGUUAAUACCUCGGAGUUCUGACGGUACCCAAAGAAUAAGCACCGGCUAACUACGUGCCAGCAGCCGCGGUAAUACGUAGGGUGCAAGCGUUAUCGGAAUUACUGGGCGUAAAGCGUGCGUAGGUGGUUUGUUAAGUCUGAUGUGAAAGCCCUGGGCUCAACCUGGGAAUGGCAUUGGAUACUGGCGAGCUAGAGUGCGGUAGAGGGGUGUGGAAUUCCCGGUGUAGCAGUGAAAUGCGUAGAGAUCGGGAGGAACAUCUGUGGCGAAGGCGACACCCUGGACCAGCACUGACACUGAGGCACGAAGCGUGGGGAGCAAACA
rnacentral:rRNA from 1 species